GACAGAGGGUGCAAACGUUGUUCGGAAUUACUGGGCGUAAAGCGCGUGUAGGCGGCAGGGCAAGUCGGAUGUGAAAUCCCAUGGCUCAACCAUGGAAGUGCACCCGAAACUGCCCAGCUAGAGUCUCGGAGAGGAAGGUGGAAUGCUUGGUGUAGAGGUGAAAUUCGUAGAUAUCAAGCGGAACACCGGUGGCGAAGGCGGCCUUCUGGACGAUGACUGACGCUGAGACGCGAAAGCGUGGGGAGCGAACAGG
rnacentral:rRNA from 1 species